rnacentral:rRNA from 1 species
UACGUAGGGGGCUAGCGUUGUCCGGAAUCAUUGGGCGUAAAGCGCGCGUAGGCGGCCCGGUAAGUCCGCUGUGAAAGUCAAAGGCUCAACCUUUGAAUGUCAGCGGAUACUGCCGGGCUAGAGUCCGGAAGAGGCGAGUGGAAUUCCUGGUGUAGCGGUGAAAUGCGCAGAUAUCAGGAGGAACACCAGCGGCGAAGGCGGCGCUCUGGGCCGGUACUGACGCUGAGGAGCGAAAGCGUGGGUAGCAAACAGG